UAGGGAAUCUUCCGCAAUGGACGCAAGUCUGACGGAGCAACGCCGCGUGAGUGAAGAAGGAUUUCGGUUCGUAAAACUCUGUUGUUAGAGAAGAACAGCGCAUAGAGUAACUGUUAUGCGUGUGACGGUAUCUAACCAGAAAGCCACGGCUAACUACGUGCCAGCAGCCGCGGUAAUACGUAGGUGGCAAGCGUUGUCCGGAUUUAUUGGGCGUAAAGCGAGCGCAGGCGGUCAAUUAAGUCUGAUGUGAAAGCCCCCGGCUCAACCGGGGAGGGUCAUUGGAAACUGGUUGACUUGAGUGCAGAAGAGGAGAGUGGAAUUCCAUGUGUAGCGGUGAAAUGCGUAGAUAUAUGGAGGAACACCGGUGGCGAAAGCGACUCUCUGGUCUGUAACUGACGCUGAGGUUCGAAAGCGUGGGUAGCAAACAGG
rnacentral:rRNA from 1 species